rnacentral:rRNA from 1 species
GUGCCAGCAGCCGCGGUAAUACGGAGGGUGCAAGCGUUGUUCGGAAUCACUGGGCGUAAAGCGCGUGUAGGUGGUCUUUUAAGUCUGGUGUGAAAGCCCGGGGCUUACCCCCGGAAGGGCACUGGAUACUGGGAGACUAGAGUACCGGAGAGGAAGGUGGAAUUCCUGGUGUAGCGGUGAAAUGCGUAGAUAUCAGGAGGAACACCGGUGGCGAAGGCGGCCUUCUGGACGGCUACUGACACUGAGACGCGAAAGCGUGGGGAGCAAACAGGAUUAGAUACCCUGGUAGUCC